AGGGAAGAUGUCUGACACGCUGCUGCAGGCGUCAGUCCAGGUCAUCGACAGCGCACGGUGCAAUGCGGAGGAUGCCUACCAGGGGGAGGUGACUGCUGGCAUGCUGUGUGCAGGUACCCCACAGGGUGGCAAGGACACCUGCCAGGGUGACAGUGGUGGGCCUUUGAUGUACCAUUAUGACAAGUGGCAGGUUGUAGGCAUCGUGAGCUGGGGCUAUGGCUGUGGGAGCCCAAGUACCCCUGGAGUGUACACCAAGGUCACUGCCUAUCUUGACUGGAUCUACAAUGUUCGGAGGUCUGAGAUGUAAUGUUGCUAUCUGCCACCCCAGAGGCUGCUUCCCCUCAGACCUGCCUACUGUGUGAUCCCUCAAAGUCAGACAUGGGACAAGAGCCUCCUUGAACAAACUCUGGUAUUUCCUGCAGCAGCCAAGGACUCAGACAUACGCAUUGCAGAGGUGCCUGGAGUGGACUCAGGUGGACUGGCUCAGCCACUCCUGCCUCUCCCAAACCCUGGGAGACAUGCGGUCCAUAGGAGUGAAGCCAUUGACACAAUUCUCAGAAGUGUUAUUCAGUCAAGGUGGCUCUCUCUUCCACUGAAGGAAGGGAGGUCAGCUUUCUCCUGAGAGCCCAGACCAGUGAGGACUGAGUAGAUGAGACAAGGGUCAGAAAAGCUUUCUUUGCCUCGUCGUGAAAGCACUGGGUUAAGAGGUCAGUCUCUUCUAAGGUGAGGUGUAUAUUUUAAUGUCAGGGUAUUAUUGUCCCUCCUGUGGUCAAUAUCAUUAAACGGGUAUGAGAAAUCGCUGGCAUAGACUUUUUGGACUGCAUGAUAAGAAUCCAACUAGGACUGUCACACCUUUAGUCUUUGUGCUGGUACUGCAUGACUGGUCCCAGAGCACAAAGGACAAGCCACAGAAAUUAUUCCACCUGAGUCUUGAUUGCUGAACCAAUACGUUUGCUGGGCCGUCUGGCAGAUGCAUGGGUAAUUUGAAGGCGGCUGCCUCGCCAGCAAGCCCUCCCUCAGCAUAGAUAACAAUACAUGAAAGCAACAUCACUGGAAUUCUCAGCACAGCAUUCAGACGGCUUCGCUGAGAAGCUCUGUCGUGUGUAUUACCUCUCCCCUGGCAAUUGGUGGCUGCUUGUGAAUACUUGUCACGACUCUUAUGACUCUGUGUCCUCUAGGUCUCAUAAACUACACCUCUCGUU
rnacentral:lncRNA from 1 species